rnacentral:rRNA from 1 species
GUACGCGGCAUCGACUCUGUCGUUGCCGAUGCUACUGGAAAGAUGACCAAACUUGAUCAUUUAGAGGAAGUAAAAGUCGUAACAAAGUUUCCGUAGGUGAACCUGCGGAAGGGUCAUUA